UGGGGAAUAUUGCACAAUGGGCGCAAGCCUGAUGCAGCCAUGCCGCGUGUGUGAAGAAGGCCUUCGGGUUGUAAAGCACUUUCAGCGAGGAGGAAGGUUCAGUGUUAAUAGCACUGUGCAUUGACGUUACUCGCAGAAGAAGCACCGGCUAACUCCGUGCCAGCAGCCGCGGUAAUACGGAGGGUGCAAGCGUUAAUCGGAAUUACUGGGCGUAAAGCGCACGCAGGCGGUUUGUUAAGUCAGAUGUGAAAUCCCCAGCGCUUAACGUGGGAACUGCAUUUGAAACUGGCAAAGCUAGAGUCUUGUAGAGGGGGGUAGAAUUCCAGGUGUAGCGGUGAAAUGCGUAGAGAUCUGGAGGAAUACCGGUGGCGAAGGCGGCCCCCUGGACAAAGACUGACGCUCAGGUGCGAAAGCGUGGGGAGCAAACA
rnacentral:rRNA from 1 species